GUAUCCAUAGCUCAGUUUGGUAGAGCAUCUGACUUUUAAUCAGAAUGUCAUAGGUUCAAAUCCUAUUGGGUGCA
rfam:Eubacterium plexicaudatum ASF492 genomic scaffold acLZb-supercont1.9, whole genome shotgun sequence.